AUACGGGGGAUUCAAGCGUUAUCCGGACUUAUUGGGUUUAAAGGGUGCGUAGGCUGAUAAAUCAGUCAGCGGUGAAAUUUACGGGCUUAACUUGUAGCUUGCCGUUGAAACUAUUUAUCUAGAGAUAUUUCGGCGUAUGCGGAAUGUAUCAAGUAGCGGUGAAAUGCAUAGAUAUGCUACAGAACACCAAUCGCGAAGGCAGCAUACGAGGCAUCAUCUGACGCUGAUGCACGAAAGCGUGGGGAUCAAACAGGAUUAGAUACCCUGGUAGUCCACGCAGUAAACGAUGAUUACUAGCUGUUUGCGAUACAAUGUAAGCGGCUGAGCGAAAGCGUUAAGUAAUCCACCUGGGGAGUACGUUCGCAAGAAUGAAACUCAAAGGAAUUGACGGGG
rnacentral:rRNA from 1 species